AAAUUCAUUUCGUUUGAAGAAAACAAGUCAGUUAAGACAGUAUUACGUAGGAGUAACCAUGUUUCUUUUACUAUAUAUAUCAUUUAUGUUAUUAAAUAUUUUACGGAUAAAUUGUGAUCAAACCUGUGACUGCCAGGAGAUGGAAACCCUAAAAGAAAUAGUUCAGCAAGUUAUGUUUGAACAAAAAAUGCAGUCGGCAAAACUUCGUAAAAUGGAAGCCAGACAGAGAUCUGCAUCACUGGGGUCAGCCAGAGCAGUUUCUGCAGAUCGACUUUCAAAGAUGGAAACAAAGGUAAAAGAAGUAGAUAACAAACUAAACUUUAUGAAAGAAAAGCUGGAUGACAAAGAAGAUAUUGCAACUGUUUUGAAGAAAACGCUGACUUCUGAAAAGCUAGAAAGAAUACAUUUUGGUUCGGAAAUGGAAAGCCAAAUGACUGAAAUGAAGGAGAACUUUGAGAAUUUCAAAAAAGAAACAACUAGGCAAAAUUGAUGACCACACUUGCAAAAAUCAGCGCAACUCAAUACUGAUUUUAAGCGAGAUGUAAAUGAAAAAUUGAAAGACAUAAAAGGACAAACAGACAGGUCAGUCAGCCAGGUUAUGAAAGAUGCAACUUCAUCUCAGAAACUGUUCAUGCUUGAAGUAGAUGAAAAGCUGGAAAAAACAAAAGAUCACAGAGUAGCAUUUACAGCAAACGGUAUCACAGAGGGUAUGGUUUCUGAAGAGCCUCGAUUUCCAAACAUAAUGGAAAACUGUGGAGAUGGCUAUAACAGUACAACUGGAAAAUUCACUUGCAGUGUUCCCGGGAUUUAUCAUUUUGUAGUAACGCUUUCGAUUAGACAAUAUGAACAAUAUGACGCGUUAAAUUGUUAUAUCUAUGUGAAUUUUGAAGGAAAAAUUCAAAUGUAUGUGAAUAAACACGCACACUGAGUCUGAUAAUUCCUAUCCCGCGAGCGUGUCAGGAACACUACAUCUGAACAGAGGAGAUACUGUUUAUGUUGGUGAUUGUGGCGAAUAUGGGAGCAUCUACAAUGACAAGUCCACCAUUUUCACCGGUUUCUUAGUUUCUGCAGAUAAUUAAUUAGUACUAUGCAGGCCAAUCAUAAUGUUUGCAAAUUGGACACUAAAGGUAAUAGAAACACAAACCAGCAACUAUUAACAAUAACAAAGUUUAUUUUUCAAAGUAACAAUUCAAAGACAUUGGAAAUGUUAACUAGCCUUGAAGUCCAAUUAUAAUAUACAAGAAUAGUCCAAUUUCUGUCCUGGUCUAACUAAAUCCCAAUCAGUAUUUCAAAUUUCUCACACAAUCCAGACUGAAUUUAGUAUAAUAUUAUCCAAAGAAUAUAAAUCCUCUCUUUAAAGAUAUUUUGAAUCCACAAAAUCUUUAUGUAAAGCUAUCAAAUGUUAAAUGUUCAAACUGGUUUUAUUUCAUUAUAAUAAAAAAUUGCAGGAAAGAUUUUCAGUAAGAUCUUACUUAAUUCUACCUGUCGAGUAAUGAUAGAAAAUAAGUAUAAUAAGUUUAUCAAUUGUUAAAAAGUCAUUUUGAAAAUGCAACCAAUAAGGUUUAUUGGUAGUUCUUCAUUUAGAGUAUUAAUAUGUUUCUACGAUAUAUGGUUACAACAAAUUGUUUGUGAUGUAAAUGCCUUUUUAUUUGUUUUAAAACAAAGACUUAAAGAUAAUUUAAUCAAAACUGGCAUAGUCGAUUAGAAGAUUCAUCAAGGGCACUAUUUUAUAGAACUGUAUUUAAGUUUGAGUUUCAGGACUAUUUAAAAUGUCUGAAAUCUUGACAAGUAUCCAAAAGCUUUGUCAAGAAUAAAAUUACUUUACACAGAUUACAAAUUGAAUUUAGUCGAUGGACAAGGCCAGUAAGUACUCCUAAAAUGUUCACCAUGUAAUGUUUUAGAGGAUGAGUUUCAUUUUAUUCUUGAAUGUUCAAUAGAGAUAUAACAAAGAAGUAGAUCUAAAUACAUAAAAAGUAUUGGAGACAUUCUUGUAUGAUUAAAUUUGUACAAUUAUUUGAAUGUAAUAAUUUAAGUCAGAUUAGAAAUCUUGGUAAAUACAUAUACAUGUACAUUGUACUAUGCUUUUGAUUUAGAAAUGGAAUAGUUUAUGGUAAAAAAAAACAUUUAAUUUAUCUAUGUGUAUAUAUAUGUAGUGAAUGAUUUCACAUUCUUUAUACUUUUACCUUAUCAUUAUUUCAUUUAUAUAAUGCUUAUUAUGUUUUCUAGUUUUUAGAAUGGGAAUGUUUAUUAAAUGAAUAUAUCUAACCAUAGAAACCGUGA
rnacentral:lncRNA from 1 species